CGGGGUGAGUAAUGCUUGGGAAUCUAGCUUAUGAGGGGGAGUAACUACGGGAAACUGUAGCUAAUACCGCGUAAUAUCGAAAGAUUAAAGUGUGGGACCUUCGGGCCACAUGCCAUAGGAUGAGCCCAAGUGGGAUUAGGUAGUUGGUGAGGUAAAGGCUCACCAAGCCGACGAUCUCUAGCUGGUCUGAGAGGAUGACCAGCCACACUGGGACUGAGACACGGCCCAG
rnacentral:rRNA from 1 species